GUUGGUGCUGAUUAGAACGAGGGUCCACCCGUUCCCAUUCCGAACACGGUAGUUAAGCUCGUUUCUGCCUAAGAUACUUGGCUGGCGACGGCCUGGGAAAAUCGGUAGUGCCAACA
rnacentral:rRNA from 1 species